AAUGAACGCUGGCGGCAUGCCUAACACAUGCAAGUCGAACGAAGGCUUCGGCCUUGGUGGCGCACGGGUGCGUAACGCGUGGGAAUCUGCCCUCAGGUUCGGAAUAACAGCGAGAAAUUGCUGCUAAUACCGGAUGAUAUCGCGAGAUCAAAGAUUUAUCGCCUGAGGAUGAGCCCGCGUAGGAUUAGCUAGUUGGUGUGGUAAAGGCGCACCAAGGCGACGAUCCUUAGCUGGUCUGAGAGGAUGAUCAGCCACACUGGGACUGAGACACGGCCCAGACUCCUACGGGAGGCAGCAGUGGGGAAUAUUGGACAAUGGGCGAAAGCCUGAUCCAGCAAUGCCGCGUGAGUGAUGAAGGCCUUAGGGUUGUAAAGCUCUUUUACCCGGGAUGAUAUUGACAGUACCGGGAGAAUAAGCUCCGGCUAACUCCGUGCCAGCCGCCGCGGUAA
rnacentral:rRNA from 1 species